GACAGAGGGUGCGAACGUUGUUCGGAAUUACUGAGCGUAAAGCGCGUGUAGGCGGCAACGCAAGUCGGGUGUGAAAGCCCUGGGCUUAACCUAGGAAGCGCACUCGAAACUUCCGAGCUUGAGUUCUGGAGAGGAAGGCGGAAUUCUCAGUGUAGAGGUGAAAUUCGUAGAUAUCGAGAGGAACACCGGUGGCGAAGGCGGCCUUCUGGACAGUGACUGACGCUGAGACGCGAAAGCGUGGGGAGCAAACAGG
rnacentral:rRNA from 1 species